GUAAAAACAGAUCUCUCUUCUCCCCUUCGACCACCUCCUGAUACAAGAAGGCCAUGGACAUGGAGAUCGCGACUACCGGCGACGAAGUAGACUUCUUGUUGGAUCCAAUGGACAGCAGAUUUCCCCUGCCGGAUCUGGCCGGCGAAGAUCUGGUGCUCGCCCAUGGCAGAAGCCAAGCUGUAGUAUGCGAACCUGCUGAAUCCAGCAUUGGCGAAGCGGGGGACGCCGUACUAGCAGUGGAAAAUGACUUGAACAUCACAUGUCAGGGGAUUGCCCUCUCUGCUCCAGCCUCCGAGCAAUCUACGGGGAAAGACGACCCUCAAGCCCCUGCCUGGGCGAGAAGGGAAUUCCAAAGAAGGGUAACAAACGAACAUGCCGAUGCAGAUGCCCCGCAAUGAUACGAUUGCUCCGAUCAUCUGACAAUGGCUGGUACAUAACCUACUACAGAUCAGAUCACAACCAUGCUCUAACUGAAAGAUGUGGGGAAAAAGUGUACUGGCCUUCCCACAAACAUAUCGAUAUAUACACACGGGAUGUCAUUAAGCAACUCCGUGAAAAUAACAUCAGUGUCGGGAAAGUUUACAAUAUAAUUGGUAGCUUCUUCGGGUCAAUGACCAAUAUACCAUUCACCAAAAGAGCUCUCCGAGGUUUGUGUGGCAAGAUGAGUGGAGAACAAGCCGAUAAUGAUGUGAAAAAGACAAUGGAUGUUUUUGCAGAGUUGGGAGCAAAAGAUUCAGGCUUGUACUGCAGGGUGCAACCUGAUGUUUUUGCAGAGUUGGGAGGAAAAGAUUCGGAGUUGAGCUUGUCGGCGGCCGAUUCGCAGCUAUCAACAGCAAAAGAUGACCCGCAAGCCCCGGGUGGACAAAAAGGGUUCGUAUUGGACGAGCCCCUAUCGAACGUGCACCUUGUGCUGGACGAGUGUGUGCCCUUGAAAAAACAUUAAGUGGAUAUGCAGAGAACAAAACUCAUACCAUUGUGGUAUCAGUUGUUGGAUACAACUUCGAUUCAUUGGGAGAAGCAUACGACUUCUACAAUCUAUAUCCGUGGGAAAUUGGUUUCGGAAUCAAAUACGGAAAAAGCAAACUCAACGUCGAGAGAACCAAAUGUAUGCAAGAGAUAGUGCGUGGAUUCUCGGUGAGUGGAAAUUAAAUCCAUUAUCUCAUUCGUUGGAAUUGCCCUGCCGCGCCAACCUCGAAGCAAUCUACAGGCAAAGACGACCCUCAAGCCUUUGGCUGGACAAAAAGUGUCCGAGUCGGGCAUGCACCCGAUGACCGCCCCCCAUGUGCUGCCAGGACGAGUGCCCUCGAACAUUAAGAAGAUAUGCAGAAAAGAAAACUGAGACAGUCUGGUUUAUCAGCAGUACCUUCUUCAGAAAAAAUAACCAUCCCUGUGCAGUCUGAUUUAAUCCACUCUGAAUGCCGCAUUGUUCGUAUCGGCCAGGCACCUAUCGAGCGUGCAUCCUGCCCUGGUAGAGUAUGUGCACUUGAAAAAACAUUGAGAGGAUACGCACAGAGGAAAAUAGAUACCGUCGUAGUAUCUACUGUCGGAAGCAGCUUUGAUUCGUUGGGAGAGGCGUAUGACUACUACAAUCUAUAUUCAUGGGAGGUUGGAUUCGGAAUAAGAUAUGGAAAGAGUAGGCUCAACGUCGAGAGAACCAAAUGUAUGCAGGAGAUAGUAUGUGGAUACUCGGGCUAACCAAAAAGAGGUAAUACACGGACAUGCCGCUGUGAGUGCCCUGCGAUGAUACGUUUGCUGCGAUCAAAUGACAAUGCUUGGUACAUAAAUGAGCACAGGCCUUCACAACCAUUCUUUGAUAGGUAAGUGUGGUGAGAAGGUAUACUGGCCUUCCCAUAAACAUAUAGAUAUAUACACAAGACCUUGUGAGACAGCUUAGAGAGAACAAUAUCAGCAUCGGAAAAGUGUACAACAUAAUUGGUAGUUUCUUUGGGUUAAUGAGCAAUGUGCCUUUCACUAAGCGGGCUUUGAGGGGUUGGUCUGGUAAGGACAGCCGGGAUCCGGUGGAUAAUGAUGUCCGAAAUACGAUGGAGAUUUAUAUUGUGGUCAACUGGAGCAAGCAGGAUGCAAUACCAUUACUUCGGAGAAACAAAAGCACGACAUGUCCACGGAGGGCUGACCUCCCUCGAAGAAAAGGAAAGAAGCGAAAUGCUCAAUCUGUGGAGUGGGAAAGCAUUGGAAGAAUACCUAAAACAAUCCUAAGAUUAUGUUACAUCUUGCCGAGAAAGCUGCCCAUGAACGGGCUGUAGAAAUGUGAUUAAUCUGUAUAAGCAGCGACUAUCGCGUUUAUCACUGAAUUUGCACUGUUUUCCCUUGUAUGAUGAGUGAUUAGUAGCCAGCGGUGUGAAAUAAAUUAUGUAUUGUCAGCUUA